GCUUCCCGAGGAGCAGGGAGCCCGAUGCGGGGCUCGAUCCCAGGACCCUGGGAUCAUGACCUGAGCCGAAGGCAGACGCUUAACGACCGAGCCACCCAGGCGCCCCCCCCCAAAGAAUUUUUCUUAAUAGAAGAAACUCGUGAAAGAAUAACAGUGUAGCCAACUAUGUAAACAUCAACACUAUCGCCCAUCCUAAGGAAGGACAGGAACGGCUCAGACAGAACUAGCAACGGAUAUCACUUAACGGGUUGCCAUUUCAAUGAACAUCAGGGUGAUGAGACCAGGGUCAGAGAUACGGGCAACGCUUGCUGGGGGUGCCCGGGGCCCCCCGAAGACCCCUCCUAUGGAACACUUCGGAAAAGCUUUCAUGGAGGAGGCCACAUGGAUCCAGACCUUAAGCUGUAACUGGAAGUUUUCCAGGUAUCUGAAGCCUCGGUCCCGCGCUUGUACAUUGUCAGCGCUCUCUUGUCAAUGUGAUCCUUUCAUGAGAGCAGUUCCAGUCAUAUCAGGACAAGGGGCCAGCGACAGGCUUCGUGUCAGAGUCAUAAUGAAAGCAG